ACUCAUACCUUGUAGGGGAAAUACCAUGUUGUCAAAGUAAUUUUCUUAGGGAGAGGCUCAUCCAUUGCACUUUGGGUUUGCAAUUGACCCCUGUGAUUUCCCCAAAUGUGGGGAACUCAACUGUAUAAUUUGUGUUAAUGGGGGCAUUAUGUUUGUGAUUUCUGU
rnacentral:snRNA from 1 species